UGGGGAAUAUUGCACAAUGGGCGCAAGCCUGAUGCAGCCAUGCCGCGUGUAUGAAGAAGGCCUUCGGGUUGUAAAGUACUUUCAGCGGGGAGGAAGGCGAUAAGGUUAAUAACCUUGUCGAUUGACGUUACCCGCAGAAGAAGCACCGGCUAACUCCGUGACAGCAGCCGCGGUAAUACGGAGGGUGCAAGCGUUAAUCGGAAUUACUGGGCGUAAAGCGCACGCAGGCGGUCUGUCAAGUCGGAUGUGAAAUCCCCGGGCUCAACCUGGGAACUGCAUUCGAAACUGGCAGGCUAGAGUCUUGUAGAGGGGGGUAGAAUUCCAGGUGUAGCGGUGAAAUGCGUAGAGAUCUGGAGGAAUACCGGUGGCGAAGGCGGCCCCCUGGACAAAGACUGACGCUCAGGUGCGAAAGCGUGGGGAGCAAACA
rnacentral:rRNA from 1 species